UUGGUUAAGUUAGAAAGGGCGCACGGUGGAUGCCUUGGCACUAGGAGCCGAAGAAGGACGGGACUAACACCGAUAUGCUUUGGGGAGCUGUACGUAAGCGUUGAUCCAGAGAUUUCCGAAUGGGGGAACCCACUAUCUUUAGUCGGAUAGUAUCCUUACGUGAAUACAUAGCGUGAGGAAGGCAGACCCAGGGAACUGAAACAUCUAAGUACCUGGAGGAAGAGAAAGAAAAAUCGAUUUCCUGAGUAGCGGCGAGCGAAACGGAAAGAGCCCAAACCAAGAAGCUUGCUUCUUGGGGUUGUAGGACACUCUAUACGGAGUUACAAAAGAAAGUUAUAAAUGAAGCGGUCUGGAAAGGCCCGCCAAAGACGGUAACAGCCCGGUAGUUGAAAUAGCUUUCCCUCCAGAGUGGAUCCUGAGUACGGCGGAACACGUGAAAUUCCGUCGGAAUCCGGGAGGACCAUCUCCCAAGGCUAAAUACUCCCUAGUGACCGAUAGUGAACCAGUACCGUGAGGGAAAGGUGAAAAGCACCCCGGAAGGGGAGUGAAACAGUUCCUGAAACCGUGUGCCUACAAGUAGUUAGAGCCCGUUAAUGGGUGAUAGCGUGCCUUUUGUAGAAUGAACCGGCGAGUUACGAUUUGUUGCAAGGUUAAGCGGAAAAAGCGGAGCCGUAGCGAAAGCGAGUCUGAAUAGGGCGCAUAAGUAACAGGUCGUAGACCCGAAACCAGGUGAUCUACCCAUGUCCAGGAUGAAGGUAAGGUAAUACUUACUGGAGGUCCGAACCCACGCACGUUGAAAAGUGCGGGGAUGAGGUGUGGGUAGCGGAGAAAUUCCAAUCGAACUUGGAGAUAGCUGGUUCUCUCCGAAAUAGCUUUAGGGCUAGCCUCGAGGUAAAGAGUCAUGGAGGUAGAGCACUGUUUGGACUAGGGGCCCUUCUCGGGUUACCGAAUUCAGAUAAACUCCGAAUGCCAUGUACUUAUACUCGGGAGUCAGACUGCGAGUGAUAAGAUCCGUAGUCGAAAGGGAAACAGCCCAGACCACCAGUUAAGGUCCCCAAAUAUAUGUUAAGUGGAAAAGGAUGUGGGGUUGCUUAGACAACCAGGAUGUUGGCUUAGAAGCAGCCACCAUUGAAAGAGUGCGUAAUAGCUCACUGGUCGAGUGACCCCGCGCCGAAAAUGUACCGGGGCUAAACAUAUUACCGAAACUGUGGAUGAACCUCUUUAGAGGUUCGUGGUAGGAGAGCGUUCUAAGGGCGGUGAAGUCAGACCGGAAGGACUGGUGGAGCGCUUAGAAGUGAGAAUGCCGGUAUGAGUAGCGAAAGAAGGGUGAGAAUCCCUUCCACCGAAUAUCUAAGGUUUCCUGAGGAAGGCUCGUCCGCUCAGGGUUAGUCGGGACCUAAGCCGAGGCCGAUAGGCGUAGGCGAUGGACAACAGGUAGAGAUUCCUGUACCAGUGCUAAUUGUUUAACCGAUGGGGUGACACAGAAGGAUAGGGAAUCGCACGAAUGGAAAUGUGCGUCCAAGCAGUGAGUGUGAGAA
rnacentral:rRNA from 1 species